AUUGAACGCUGGCGGCAGGCUUAACACAUGCAAGUCGAGCGGAUGAAGGUAGCUUGCUACUGGAUUCAGCGGCGGACGGGUGAGUAAUGCUUAGGAAUCUGCCUAUUAGUGGGGGACAACGUUCCGAAAGGNGCGCUAAUACCGCAUACGUCCUACGGGAGAAAGCAGGGGACCUUNGGGCCUUGCGCUAAUAGAUGAGCCUAAGUCGGAUUAGCUAGUUGGUAGGGUAAAGGCCUACCAAGGCGACGAUCUGUAGCGGGUCUGAGAGGAUGAUCCGCCACACUGGGACUGAGACACGGCCCAGACUCCUACGGGAGGCAGCAGUGGGGAAUAUUGGACAAUGGGGGGAACCCUGAUCCAGCCAUGCCGCGUGUGUGAAGAAGGCCUUUUGGUUGUAAAGCACUUUAAGCGAGGAGGAGGCUACCUAGAUUAAUACUUUAGGAUAGUGGACGUUACUCGCAGAAUAAGCACCGGCUAACUCUGUGCCAGCAGCCGCGGUAAUACAGAGGGUGCGAGCGUUAAUCGGAUUUACUGGGCGUAAAGCGUGCGUAGGCGGCCAAUUAAGUCAAAUGUGAAAUCCCCGAGCUUAACUUGGGAAUUGCAUUCGAUACUGGUUGGCUAGAGUAUGGGAGAGGAUGGUAGAAUUCCAGGUGUAGCGGUGAAAUGCGUAGAGAUCUGGAGGAAUACCGAUGGCGAAGGCAGCCAUCUGGCCUAAUACUGACGCUGAGGUACGAAAGCAUGGGGAGCAAACAGGAUUAGAUACCCUGGUAGUCCAUGCCGUAAACGAUGUCUACUAGCCGUUGGGGCCCUUGAGGCUUUAGUGGCGCAGCUAACGCGAUAAGUAGACCGCCUGGGGAGUACGGUCGCAAGACUAAAACUCAAAUGAAUUGACGGGGGCCCGCACAAGCGGUGGAGCAUGUGGUUUAAUUCGAUGCAACGCGAAGAACCUUACCUGGCCUUGACAUACAGAGAACUUUCCAGAGAUGGAUUGGU
rnacentral:rRNA from 1 species